AAGUCUGGCGUGCUGUUUCUUACAGUAGUUAUCUAUCUUUAAUGUUAAUCUUUAUAGCAAACAUAGGGUCUGUCAACUGCAUUGUGUCCAAGAUAAAGGUUUUGUAGUGUUCAACUUUCCAAAAGGCUUGUAUUUUUGAGAGCUGGGUCUCCCCUAUCAAUGUUUACAGUACCAAACUGAAUGAACUUUAAUGAAACUGAUUAUUUUUUUCUUAACUGCUUUAUUUUCACUCACAGGUAGUUUGUAUUGCAAUCCAGUGCUAGCAGUGUUCAAUUUGAGAUGCACCUUAGUGUUGUGUGUCUAUAAGAAUGUUCUGUAGUCCUAGGGAAGAAUGUGUGAAUGCAGAAGUUUUUCCUAUUUCUAAUGGUAGAAGUUGAUCUACUAAAUAUAUUCUUCUUCCUUACAAAAUUCAGCUGUACUCUUAUCAGUAGGCACAUCAAUAGUAUUGCCAGAGAAGUCAGUUUUUCGUUGAAUGAUGCUUAAGGAAAUAAAAAAAGACAUUUCUAACAAAUCAGAUUGGUUUUAAUUUCCUUGCUCUGAAUAAAUAUAUCUGCAUGCUGAGAAUGGGCAUUACAAUAGUCCAGCUCAUUUGGCAGUGUUAAUCAAUGUGGUAAUGUUGCAGUAGUUCGAUUAAAACAUGUUUUCAUAAUGUGACUGAUAGACAGAAAUGAUAAUGGUGCUGUCUUGACUUGAAUUAUAAACUCCAGAGGAUGGAAAAUUUUAUAAAGUCAGACAUAGCACAUACUUGUCUGCACUCUUACCUAUGUUGGGAAACCUCGUCUUUUAAACAGAGAAGGGAUGGCUGGAGCCCUGAACUGAACUUCACCCAUCCCCAAAGCAGUGGACUCCAGCUGGCAGUAAGGUAUGGUGCCUUUCAGAAG